AGCUUUGUAAACUGCUAUUUUGGGCUCAUAACCCAAAGGUCGCAGGUUCAAAUCCUGCUCCCGCAACCA
rnacentral:tRNA from 1 species